rnacentral:rRNA from 1 species
GAUGAACGCUGGCGGCGUGCCUAAUACAUGCAAGUCGAGCGAACAGAUGAGAAGCUUGCUUCUCUGAUGUUAGCGGCGGACGGGUGAGUAACACGUGGGUAACCUACCUAUAAGACUGGGAUAACUCCGGGAAACCGGGGCUAAUACCGGAUAAUAUUUUGAACCGCAUGGUUCAAUAGUGAAAGACGGUUUCGGCUGUCACUUAUAGAUGGACCCGCGCCGUAUUAGCUAGUUGGUAAGGUAACGGCUUACCAAGGCGACGAUACGUAGCCGACCUGAGAGGGUGAUCGGCCACACUGGAACUGAGACACGGUCCAGACUCCUACGGGAGGCAGCAGUAGGGAAUCUUCCGCAAUGGGCGAAAGCCUGACGGAGCAACGCCGCGUGAGUGAUGAAGGUCUUCGGAUCGUAAAACUCUGUUGUUAGGGAAGAACAAAUUUGUUAGUAACUGAACAAGUCUUGACGGUACCUAACCAGAAAGCCACGGCUAACUACGUGCCAGCAGCCGCGGUAAUACGUAGGUGGCAAGCGUUAUCCGGAAUUAUUGGGCGUAAAGCGCGCGUAGGCGGUUUCUUAAGUCUGAUGUGAAAGCCCACGGCUCAACCGUGGAGGGUCAUUGGAAACUGGGAAACUUGAGUGCAGAAGAGGAGAGUGGAAUUCCAUGUGUAGCGGUGAAAUGCGCAGAGAUAUGGAGGAACACCAGUGGCGAAGGCGGCUCUCUGGUCUGUAACUGACGCUGAUGUGCGAAAGCGUGGGGAUCAAACAGGAUUAGAUACCCUGGUAGUCCACGCCGUAAACGAUGAGUGCUAAGUGUUAGGGGGUUUCCGCCCCUUAGUGCUGCAGCUAACGCAUUAAGCACUCCGCCUGGGGAGUACGACCGCAAGGUUGAAACUCAAAGGAAUUGACGGGGACCCGCACAAGCGGUGGAGCAUGUGGUUUAAUUCGAAGCAACGCGAAGAACCUUACCAAAUCUUGACAUCCUUUGACCGCUCUAGAGAUAGAGUCUUCCCCUUCGGGGGACAAAGUGACAGGUGGUGCAUGGUUGUCGUCAGCUCGUGUCGUGAGAUGUUGGGUUAAGUCCCGCAACGAGCGCAACCCUUAAGCUUAGUUGCCAUCAUUAAGUUGGGCACUCUAGGUUGACUGCCGGUGACAAACCGGAGGAAGGUGGGGAUGACGUCAAAUCAUCAUGCCCCUUAUGAUUUGGGCUACACACGUGCUACAAUGGAUAAUACAAAGGGCAGCGAAUCCGCGAGGCCAAGCAAACCCCAUAAAAUUAUUCUCAGUUCGGAUUGUAGUCUGCAACUCGACUACAUGAAGCUGGAAUCGCUAGUAAUCGUAGAUCAGCAUGCUACGGUGAAUACGUUCCCGGGUCU